rnacentral:rRNA from 1 species
GCUAAUUCUGGUGUAGCAAUAUAUCAGAGUUGGAGUGGCGCAAGGGUGCGUAACACGUGGGUAAUUUGCCGUGAAGUUGGGGAUAACUCGCUGAAAGGCGAGCUAAUACCGGAUGUGGUUUUUGGGAGGCAUCUUCUGACAACCAAAGCUGGGGAUCGUAAGACCUGGCGCUUCAUGAUAAGCCCGCGGCCUAUCAGCUAGUUGGUGAGGUAAUGGCUCACCAAGGCUACGAUCCGUAGCUGGUCUGAGAGGAUGAUCAGCCACACUGGGACUGAGACACGGCCCAGACUCCUACGGGAGGCAGCAGUGGGGAAUCUUGCGCAAUGGCCUAACGGCUGACGCAGCGACGCCGCGUGUGGGAUGAAGCUCCUCGGAGUGUAAACCCCUUUCAGUUGGGACGAAGCUUCGGCGGUUAAUAGCCGUUCGGAGUGACGGUACCUUCACAAGAAGCACCGGCUAACUACGUGCCAGCAGCCGCGGUAAUACGUAGGGUGCAAGCGUUGUCCGGAAUUAUUGGGCGUAAAGAGCGUGUAGGCGGCCCGAUUAGUCCGCUGUGAAAGUCCAGGGCUCAACCCUGGAAUGCCGGUGGAUACUGUCGGGCUAGAGUCCGGAAGGGGCGAGUGGAAUUCCUGGUGUAGCGGUGAAAUGCGCAGAUAUCACGAGGAACACCAAUGGCGAACGCAGCUCGCUGGGACGUGACUGACGCUGAGACGCGAAAGCGUGGGGAGCAAACAGGAUUAGAUACCUUGGUAGUCCACGCCGUAAACGA